rnacentral:rRNA from 1 species
AGGCUGCAACUCGCCUGCACGAAGUCGGAAUUGCUAGUAAUCGUAGGUCAGCAUACUACGGUGAAUACGUUCCCGGGCCUUGUACACACCGCCCGUCACACCAUGAGAGUUGGCAACACCCGAAGUCAGUAGCCUAACCGCAAGGGGGGCGCUGCCGAAGGUGGGGUUGAUGAUUGGGGUGAAGUCGUAACAAGGUAAC